UUUUUUCCUGCCAUAUUCCAUACCUUUUUUUGGGUGAAGUAUGUAUAUCUGUUUUAUCAUCACUUAUCUCUAAACUUUUGUGUAUCUCCCUUCCGCUUUUAGAAAAUAUCAUAACCUUUGCUUUAGUAGUAGUGACCCAAGGUGAAAUUGUUCAUGUUCUAGAUAUCGAAUUUUCACUGUGCGUGUUUCGAUCUCUUCAGCAGUAAUAUGUUGGAUCGUCUUUGAAUCGUCUUGCUCACGUCUAUGUUUGCCUUUUUAAAUCGUGAUAGUAAUACUUUCCAGGCAUAAAGUUGGCAUUCUCUAGUAGCUGAUGAUAUGGCAUGCACUCCACACAUGUAAGGGGCGAAUAGCAUCAAGUCAAGACAUGUCAGGAAUGUAGGAAAAUUUAGGAGCAGCUUGAGCAAAAUUGAUACCCACUAGAAAGGAUGUAACACUGAUUUUUUACUCACGAAUUCAUUUUGUUACAUCCAGAGUACCUUCGUCGAGAUUCUGCUCUCGUCGGGUUUAUAGCUUGACAGCCCGGUUUGAAGGUUCUUAUGAGCGUAGAACCUCUUAAUAAGGAUUUAAAACCUUGCCUGAAUAUUCUCUAGAAAUUUUUGAAGCACCUGUAAGUGCGAAACAAUGUGACAAUUAGGAGUUUUAGUCUGGCACUGUCUCAGUAAAAGAUUUCUACUGUGAGGCUUCUGUUCCGAUCUUAUGCUAA